ACAGCAAAGAGCCCUGAGAAUCCUAAAGCCUAGCCAAGGGGACCUGGCAGGAUUUCAUACAGAUGUGCAUGUCCCAAGCUGCAGGUGGAAGCAAACAGCAGGCUGGACAGCCCAUUAUCAUCAGCCAAGCCUCCCACUUCCCCUCCUACUCCCAAGGAAGGGAGGAAGCAUCUUAAGCAGGACAACUCCUGCUGAAGGCUGUGUCCUCCCUGGUGGAAGGAACGGGAAUGAGCAGGAGCAGAAGCAGCAUGAGGUGAAUCAGGAAGCAAGUCUAUAAGGGAUAUGGAAACAGACUGAAGAUCCUUUCACUGCAAGACAGACAGAGCUGAGCGGAACCCAGAUGUAAUUAAGACAUAGCAUCACGUGCAGCUUUCAAGAAGAAGGGGAGGAAAUGCACUGGCCAUUAUGUAGAGACUACAGAAACGAAGGAAGAGUCACGCUAAUGAAGACAGGAAGGAUGAUGAACUCAGACUCACAGAGAUGAGAAAGUGAAUAAAAGAACCAGACUGAAACACAGCAGCAAUUUUAUUCCAGCAGCAAUUUUCUGAAACCGAAAUUGAAAUUAAAAAUACAUUUAUAAUGAACAGCCAGCAACAUCCACAGCCCAGCAGCAUGCGCAUGGAGAACAGAGGAUCAGUCAUCAGCGAGGUCAGGAGCUGAAAUGGGUGCUGGAGCCCAAAAGAGACCCCAGCAAGAUAGAGCUUAAGUCUAGCAGCCCUGGCCAGCAAACUGAUGGGAGCCAGCAAUUCUGCAGGCACUGAGGUCCUGAUCUUGCUCCCAGCAAAGUCAAAGGCAAAAUUCUCAUUGUAUGACAGAUCACAACUAAUUUCCUGCAAGCUCGGUGGAGUUACUCAAGCCAGCUUCCCAAAACAAGACAAUGCAUUUUAGAACAACAGCCAGAGGCUUGCUGUAUUAUAACGUGACCCCUGGGGGGGUACAAAUUGCUGUCAGGCAAGUCCUCCUAGCUAUUGUUUGAGGCUGCUGACUCAGGAAGACAGGGCCACCUUGUUCCACAUCUGAAGGGGCUUUUUUAUUUAUUUUGGGACCACACAGGCUAGAAAUGCUUUAUUAUUUUUGUUAUAAUGUUUGAUUGUUAUAUGUGGGUGGGAAGGGGAUGAGAGUGGGUUUUUUUUCUCUCCUUCAACACAAAUGGUGAGGAAAUGGCUACCCAAUAUGGUAGGACAGUGGGAGGCUGGAGGGAUGCUGGAAAUGAGCAGAGUACCAACAUGGUGCCAGCACAGCAAGUACAGCUCAUGGAGCAUCCCCAGGGCAACCAAGCAUAUGAGAAGGUGGGGUCCAAAUGUGAGGUACUGCACAGGAAGAUGCUGGGGGUGGCCAAUCCCAAAGAGGAAGCUGUGAAUGCAGCUGGCAUCGUGCAGUUCCUACAAGCCAUUAAUAAAUGCCAAAGAGAGAGAGAGAGAGAGUUGAGCAAGUUGCUGAUUAAGGGUCCCCUUCCUUGGCUGAGAAUGGGAGCGGGUGUCAAGUGAUGCACCCAGCUGCACUCCUGUGGAUUUAGGUGCAAUGUAACAGAGCUGAAAAUAAAACCAGAAGCUUUGGCACAUUAUUUCCAAUUACUGUGAGGGUCUAGAAAGCCAAUUGGCAUUGAGGCUGAAGCUACCAUGCACUGCUGGCAUGGCUGCUUCCCCCAGCACACCAGCAAUUGCUAC
ensembl:lncRNA